UUGUCUCCAGGGCUCCACUCAAUUCUAAAGCGCAGCAAGGGUUGAGAAGAGAACCUGAUGUGCUACACUUCUGAUGUCUCAUCUUAGCGGGGGAGAGAAGCAGAGUUUGCGCAAAUGCCUCCCUCUAAAACAUUAGCCCUGUAAAACAACGGGUGAGAGGUGCUUAUUCCAUUUAACGGACAGAACUACUAAGUCAGAGAGAGGUGAAGACGUAAGGGCAACUCGCAGAAUCUUGGACCCACAUCUCCUGGCUUGCCUGAGCUGCUUGGAAUAUACCAGUAAAUGUAUUCAAGAGGAAGGAACCUCCACGCCCCUCUCUUUGAGUCCCCUCCUCCCUGGGCCUAACAUGGACACACCUCUUUCUGGUUCACUUCAACAGCCCUGCACCAGCUCCAUGGACAUCAUCCACUGGGUCAGCACACGUGGGUCCCCUGCCCACAGGGAUCUUAGCCUAUUAUCCAGUCCUUAAUAUUGGCCUUUCACCCUUUUUCUGUUCCUUUCAAAUAUGUCAACCAGACAACACCAAAAAGCUAUUAAUUAUCACAUUUAAUCUUCUCAGUGUGACUUAACACACAUUCUCAGAUUAUCUACCUGUAUUGGACAUUGUCCUGAAUCCUGAGAAAGAAAUACCAUAAAUGUAAGAUCUCAUUGUCUACAGUGCAUAUUAUCGAAGGCAUAAAGCCUUCAAGAUAAAUAGAAAAUCUCCUUGAAUUGGCAGUGAGGAGUCUAGGCUAAAGAAACAUUCCAAAUCAGGGAAAGAAGAAAAGAUGUGCUUUGUGGAAGACAUUCGGUUAAUCAUUGAGGAAACUUUGUACGGUAUCCAGCAUACCCAGACCUUAUCCACCAGCCAACCUCAGGAGAGGUGAGGGAGAAAAGGCACUCAUCCGCAAUUUAAGCCUAAGGAUGAAGUUUAGCUGUAGAAAGACCCAAGACUGAAACGGAUGGGUCUGGACUGUUGCCUGAGUCCAGGAAUUUAGUGCCUUUGAUCACCUUUUGCAUACAGAGACCACUCAAUGAAGACCACUGGAUUUUAUAAUUAAAUGUUUUUCUCAAUAGGAACAAUUCCAAGAAAGCGUGUUGGCCUUAGGCCGAAUUUCUAGCAACAAUCAUGUCAUGAUCAAUUGGAAACGUCUGCAAAUACAUGUGUCAUGGGAAGUGAAGAGGUGUGUGCUGUUGCUAUUUUCCUAAUGAAUCUAUGUGUCCUUGUAAAACAGUUUAAGAGGGAGUAGCAUUGAGGAACCGAAAGUGGCCCGGAGAUCCAGCAAGCUUCCUCUGUGAAUGGAUUCCUCAGUCUGAAGGUUGGCGGGAUUUGGGGAGGGCUAAGGGAACUGCCAAAGAAGGUGCAAAUGUCAAAUAUGACUCCAGUUCACUGAACUGUAAUUUGGUAGAAAGUUAAGAGAAAUAGAAGUCGAUAUUACCAAGUAUGAACUUCACCUUCCUGAAAACAGUGCUGCUGUGGGUUCAGUUCAUGGGCUGGAGUAAUGAAUCAUAAUGACACCCCUUGCUGUGACCUCGGGGAAAAUAUCUGGCCUUUCUUGAGGUUUCAGCGGGUUCUCUUUUGACAGGCAUAGAGAAAACAAGAGGAGAGGGAAAUACCCUUUCAUUGUCACACUGCCAGGGAAGAAACCCACUUUAGAGGUCACAGUCGAUGACGAACACACUCAUGCAAAUGUUGUGCUGGCUUUCUCGCUCCAUUUCUUCACCGACUAUGUAGCUAAGCAAAAAAUGGAACAAGAAAUAGUGUCUUGGGAAAAAUGAAGUUGCUGGAUUUGAUGAUAGGCCCCCUUUAUAUGAAAAAAUAAAAGACGUUAAGCUAU